rnacentral:rRNA from 1 species
CCUACGGGAGGCAGCAGUGGGGAAUAUUGCACAAUGGGGGAAACCCUGAUGCAGCGACGCCGCGUGAGUGAAGAAGUAUUUCGGUAUGUAAAGCUCUAUCAGCAGGGAAGAAAAUGACGGUACCUGAUUAAGAAGCCCCGGCUAACUACGUGCCAGCAGCCGCGGUAAGACGUAGGGGGCAAGCGUUAUCCGGAUUUACUGGGUGUAAAGGGAGCGUAGACGGCAGCACAAGUCUGGAGUGAAAUGCCGGGGCUUAACCCCGGAACCGCUUUGGAAACUGUGCAGCUAGAGUGCAGGAGAGGUAAGGGGAAUUCCUAGGGUAGCGGUGAAAUGCGUAGAUAUUAGGAGGAACACCAGUGGCGAAGGCGGCUUACUGGACUGUAACUGACGUUGAGGCUCGAAAGCGUGGGGAGCAAACAGGAUUAGAUACCCCGGUAGUC